GUUUAAGUAGUUUAUAAAAAAUUAUGAUUUGUGGUAUCAUAGAAGUAAGAUACCUUAAACA
rnacentral:tRNA from 1 species